AACGAACGCUGGCGGCAGGCUUAACACAUGCAAGUCGAACGCCCCGCAAGGGGAGUGGCGCACGGGUGAGUCACGCGUGGGAACGUGCCCUGAGGUACGGAACAACGUCUGGAAACGGACGCUAAUACCGUAUAAUAUCUUCGGAACAAAGAUUUAUCGCCUAAGGAUCGGCCCGCGUUGGAUUAGGUAGUUGGUGAGGUAAGGGCUCACCAAGCCGACGAUCCAUAGCUGUUCUGAGAGGAUGAUCAGCCACACUGGGACUGAGACACGGCCCAGACUCCUACGGGAGGCAGCAGUGAGGAAUAUUGGACAAUGGAGGAAACUCUGAUCCAGCCAUGCCGCGUGAGUGAUGAAGGCCUUCGGGUUGUAAAGCUCUUUUACCCCUGACGAUAAUGACGGUAAGGGGAGAAAAAGCCACGGCUAACUUCGUGCCAGCAGCCGCCGUAA
rnacentral:rRNA from 1 species